GACGAACGCUGGCGGCGUGCUUAACACAUGCAAGUCGAGCGGUAAGGCCCUUUCGGGGGUACACGAGCGGCGAACGGGUGAGUAACACGUGGGUGACCUGCCCUCAGCUCUGGGAUAAGCCUGGGAAACUGGGUCUAAUACCGGAUAUGACCUUCCACUGCAUGGUGGUUGGUGGAAAGUCCUGGUCUUGAUUGUCUGGGUUCGGCUGGGGAUGGGCCCGCGGCCUAUCAGCUUGUUGGGGGGGUGA
rnacentral:rRNA from 1 species